rnacentral:rRNA from 1 species
UCAGUCGACUCCUACGGGGAGGCAGCAGUGGGGAAUAUUGCACAAUGGGGGAAACCCUGAUGCAGCCAUGCCGCGUGUGUGAAGAAGGCCUUCGGGUUGUAAAGCACUUUCAGUAGGGAGGAAGGUAGUGUAGUUAACACCUGCACUAUUUGACGUUACCUACAGAAGAAGCACCGGCUAACUCCGUGCCAGCAGCCGCGGUAAUACGGAGGGGUGCGAGCGUUAAUCGGAAUUACUGGGCGUAAAGCGCAUGCAGGCGGCCUGUUAAGUCAGAUGUGAAAGCCCGGGGCUUAACCUCGGAAUUGCAUUUGAAACUGGCAGGCUAGAGUCUUGUAGAGGGGGGUAGGAAUUUCAGGUGUAGCGGUGAAAUGCGUAGAGAUCUGAAGGAAUACCAGUGGCGAAGGCGGCCCCCUGGACAAAGACUGACGCUCAGAUGCGAAAGCGUGGGGAGCAAACAGGAUUAGAUACCCUGGUAG